rfam:Glycine max cultivar Williams 82 chromosome 9, whole genome shotgun sequence.
GGAGUGAUUUGCAGCCAAGAAUGACUUGCCGGAAUGCUUGCAUUAGGCAUAAUAUAUAGUUGUAUACUUUAUAAUCCGGCAAGUUGUUUUUGGCUACACUUUUUUCUCU